UUAACCGUUGGUUGUCAAUAUUACCCGCUGCACCUUUGAUAUUGUUGGAUAUCUUUAGCAUUAUAGCCUACUUAAACUUCGGCCUCUUUCGCCAUCUGUGGUUGAAACAUAAAAUUACGUUAUUUUAUUUACGCCAAUUGUGCUUCUGCGAUAGUUUCCGGUGUCUGCAUAGUUGCCGGUAAUCGCCAUUAUCAGCGCGGAUCUGUCAUGCUGCAUCAAGAUCACCAGACUGCGAAUAUUUUCCAACAAAUCGUAUAAAACAAAAAGAUCUCAUCUGAGCUACACCUGGGACAUCAGGCACACCAGGAACGGUCUCUUUCCCAGAGUGCCGCGCAGCAGUGCCCGCCUAGCUUUGGCACCUCAGCUGUCAGCCCGCUCUGCUGAUGAGGAGAAGGUGUGGGGCGAUGAAGUCGAUAAUGAAGGUGACUGACGACUAGCAUGUUACCAUCUGCACUGUGUGUUUCUAAAAACACUCCAGUGACGCAAAAGGCAUCCUGCAGCAGUCAAAUCAACUGGCAUAACAACUUUGUCAGACUUAUAGUUGUCAGUAACAGUGGUACAGAAAGUACAUCUAAAUAUUAGUGGUGCAAACUCCUAUUAAAGAAAAAAAUCAACCACAGUGCUUUCUGAAGGUUUUUUUCUUCAGUGCUUUAUUCCAGUAUACUAGUGGUUAACGAUCACGGUGGGCGACUUUUAA